rnacentral:rRNA from 1 species
UACGGAAGGUGCGAGCGUUAAUCGGAAUUACUGGGCGUAAAGCGCACGUAGGUGGAUUUAUAAGUCGGAUGUGAAAUCCCCGGGCUCAACCUGGGAACUGCAUUGGUGACUGCAAGGCUUGAGUGUGUCAGAGGGAGGUGGAAUUCCGCGUGUAGCAGUGAAAUGCGUAGAUAUGCGGAGGAACACCGAUGGCGAAGGCAGCCUCCUGGGAUAACACUGACGCUCAUGCACGAAAGCGUGGGGAGCAAACAGG